rnacentral:tRNA from 1 species
UCCUCCUUAGUUCAGUCGGUAGAACGGCGGACUAUGUCGCUGGUUCAAGUCCAGCAGGAGGAGCCA